rnacentral:rRNA from 1 species
GACAGAGGGUGCAAGCGUUGUUCGGAAUUAUUGGGCGUAAAGCGCACGUAGGCGGACCGAUAAGUUGACUGUGAAAGCCCUGGGCUCAACCCAGGAAGUGCAUUCAAUACUGUCGGCCUUGAGUCCCGGAGAGGGUGGUGGAAUUCCCAGUGUAGAGGUGAAAUUCGUAGAUAUUGGGAGGAACAUCGGUGGCGAAGGCGACCACCUGGACGGAGACUGACGCUGAGGUGCGAAAGCGUGGGUAGCAAACAGG